rnacentral:rRNA from 1 species
GACGUAGGGCGCGAGCGUUGUCCGGAUUUAUUGGGCGUAAAGAGCUCGUAGGCGGCUUGUCGCGUCGAAUGUGAAAUCUCGGGGCUCAACUCCGAGCUUGCAUUCGAUACGGGCAGGCUAGAGUUCGGUAGGGGAGACUGGAAUUCCUGGUGUAGCGGUGAAAUGCGCAGAUAUCAGGAGGAACACCGGUGGCGAAGGCGGUUCUCUGGGCCUUACCUGACGCUGAGGAGCGAAAGCGUGGGGAGCGAACAGG